rnacentral:rRNA from 1 species
GAUGAACGCUGGCGGCGCGCUUAACACAUGCAAGUCGAACGAUGAAAGCGGGAGCUUGCUCCUGCUGGAUUAGUGGCGAACGGGUGAGUAACACGUGAGCAAUCUGCCCUGAACUCUGGGAUAAGCGUUGGAAACGACGUCUAAUACCGGAUACGACGCGCAAAGGCAUCUUCUGCGCGUGGAAAGAACUUCGGUUCGGGAUGAGCUCGCGGCCUAUCAGCUAGUUGGUGAGGUAACGGCCCACCAAGGCGACGACGGGUAGCCGGCCUGAGAGGGUGACCGGCCACACUGGGACUGAGACACGGCCCAGACUCCUACGGGAGGCAGCAGUGGGGAAUAUUGCACAAUGGGCGCAAGCCUGAUGCAGCAACGCCGCGUGAGGGACGGCGGCCUUCGGGUUGUAAACCUCUUUUAGCAGGGAAGAAGCGAAAGUGACGGUACCUGCAGAAAAAGCACCGGCUAACUACGUGCCAGCCGCCGCCGUAAAAC